AUUUUCAGACAAAAAACUAUCCAACCCUAGCUAAAGCGACUCCCACUUUCACUUCGAGCAGUUCCUUCACCUUGGCCGACCUCGUUCUCCCCGACCUCGUUCUACGACCUGAGCUCGUUCUCCGACCCAACCUCGUCCUUCAACGACCCGAGCCACCUUCAGCUCCUUCACCGACCCAGAACUGCCUCGAUCGACCACGACCACGAUCUCCUUCAGCGAGCUCCUCCGACCUAUUUCUAAGACCCGAGCUCGUUCUCCGACCCGACCUCGUCCUUCAACGGUCCAAGCCACCUUCAGCUCCUUCAUCGACCCAGAACAGCCUCGAUCGACCACGACCACGAACUCCUUCAGCGAGCUCCUUCAAUGACCUGACCACGACCACGAACUCCUUCAGCGAGCUCCUUCAAUGACCUGACCACGAACUCAUUCUCCCACCUGAGCUCGUCAUUGUCCGACUUGAGCCGGCUCGAGGUAGUUCUCCGAUCGCCACCAUCGUAGUGGGGAGUUUGAAGGCUAGGACCUAUUUGUGAUUACAGCUUUGCUCUUUUGGAAAGCCUCUAUCAACAACGGCCUCAUCUCCUCGACUCUUCCAGACCAGAAUUUAUAUCAUCCCAAACAAUUAUCAUCCCAAAAUCUUCUUCAAAUCCAUCAAUGGUAUCUUACCGGACCAAAAAAAAAAAUUAACUCUCCCCAAAUCUCUGUAAUCGGUUGUUUCUGGGUUCGAUCAAACAUCUCUAAUCUCAGUUGAAGAUCCGCGGCUCCACCGGAAGUCUCCGAUUCGUGGCUUUGAUUCCGAUCAUGCACUUUGAGGUUUCACUCAGCUGGGCAUUUGCUAGAUGUAUGUAUGAAGAAUGUGGGAUUAGGUGAUUUAAAGCCAUGAAAGGCUAUCAUUUUCCUCAAGGGUGUGCUUUGGAUGGAGAAAUACUUAGAUAUGUGGGUGAAGCUUAUCCAAAAGGGGUCUGCUCAGUGUGUUGUGGGAAUGGUAAAGAUGCAGAGGGCCCAGGAUCUGACUUUGAGCUCGUGGUAGUGAUUUCAGCUGCUAGACAUAGCCCACAAAAUUUCUGCAAUGGUAGUUGGCGUUCAGUGUGGAGCAUUGAGUUCAAAGAUGAAGUACAAAUGCUGGAAUUAAAAGGCAAACUGCAGGUGGGUGCCCACUAUUUUGAGGAGGGGAAUGUGCAGUUAGAUGCAAAACAUGAAUGCAAAGAUUCAACAAUUUUUCAGUCCUCUGAAGAUUCUGCAAUUACCAUAGGCAACAUUAUAAGGCAACAUAAGGCAGAAUACUUGGCAUCUCUUGAGGCAUCCUAUUCAAACUUGCCCGAUACCACUUUUAAGGUACCAUUCAAAAUUCCGGAUUGAGUGUUUGAGACGAAGGACCCAGUUCAAUUUACUUCACAAACUGAUACAGGGACUGUGAAAGGCAUCAAAUCUGAAUAAACCUACUAAAUCACCAUUUUUUUUUCUACCAGUGGCUAAUUGGCUAUUUGUAAGAAAAGAUGAGUGAGUUGGGUUCAUAUUCUACCUGGAACAUAACAGGAACUUACAGAGGUGCGCCAUGUGUUGCUGCAAUUGAGAAUAUGAGCCAUUUUGAUGCUGAUGGGAAGCGUCAUUACCCAUUUGGUAAAGGCUUAGGCUCAGAGGUUGUAAAGCAGUUUGGUAUCCCUAAUCUAUUUGAUUUUCCCAUUAGACCAACUCUAUCUGCGUCUGGAGAUCGUGGAGUACCUGAAGCAAAAUAUUAGCGCAUUUCAUUAUGACUUACAUUGAUAUAUGUUUGUUGUGUAUAUAUAUAUUUGUAGUGGGCGGUAAAGACUCGGAAAGGAUAUACCCAACAACAACUUGACGAGGUGCACAUGGAGGUGGCCGACUACUUGCAGACCUUGUUGUAGAUUCUGACUAGGAUGGGGAUUUUGAGUAAGGCUAGAUUGCUAUUUUGGUUCACUUUGACUACUUACAGACCUUGUUGUAGAUUCUGACUAGGAUGAGGAUUUUGAGUCAGGCUACAUAGCUUUUGGUUCACUUUUUUUGUAGUAGAUGAAGUGAAUGCAGCAAUUAUGAACAAAAUUGCUGUAUAUAGGCAUUGUUAGGGUAGCUUUGUAGUAGGUUAAUUGAGGUUUUGUUUUGCCUAUUUUGUGAACUGUCAAUGAUGAUGAUUUUGGACAAAAUACCCCAAUAUAUAUUGAAAUCACUUCGGUCAAUUGUGGAUA